rnacentral:tRNA from 1 species
GGGGUUGUGGCUCAGUGGUAGAGCGCUCACUUCGCAUGUGCGGGGUCCUGAGUUUGAUCCUCAGCACCA